rnacentral:miRNA from 1 species
AGGCAGGGGCUGGUGCUGAGGC